rnacentral:rRNA from 1 species
UACGGAGGGUGCAAGCGUUAAUCGGAAUUACUGGGCGUAAAGCGCACGCAGGUGGCUGAGUCAGUCGAUUGUGAAGGCCCUGGGCUUAACCUGGGAAUUGCAGUCGAUACUACUCAGCUAGAGUAUGGGAGAGGGCAGUGGAAUUCCGGUGUAGCGGUGAAAUGCGUAGAUAUCGGGAGGAACAUCAGUGGCGAAGGCGGCUGC